CCCAGAAAAAAACUCACCCUAGAAACAAUUUCAUCCUUAUUCUAAUCACUUCUUCAUAAGAUCGGAUCCAACAAUCGAUCUUUAAGUUAUGUGUUCUGAAGGUAUGUCGUCUAUCAAAGCUAAUAAUUUAUUCUGUUAAAUUCACCAUUCUCAUCUAGUUUAUGAACAAUUUAUUAUGUUUUACAAAUUUUGAAAAUACUUAUUUAUGUAAGUAUAAAUUAUAAAUAGUCAAUUUAUUUAAUAAGUUACUCAACUCCUUUAAAAGUAGAUAAUUAUAUUUUGUUAUAUUAAUUUCAAACCCACGCGACGCGUAAAAUAAUAAAGUAAGGUUUUCUUCACACUAAUGCUAUAAUAAGCUGACAAAUGGCAUUAUUUUCUUUCAACAUGUGUCAUUAAUCUCAUAUUUAAGUAUAAUAUUUUCAUAAUUACUAAAUUUAAUUAUAUUUUCAUACCAAAAAAAAUCUCAUCAUUUUCAAUGUCAUUUUAGUAGUUAUGUAAUUAAAUAAUAAAAUAUUAAUAUUCAAAAGAUCAUUUAAUUUAACUCUAAAUGAAGUCAUUGAUGGUAAAUGUUUUUGGAAAAAAUGUCAUAAAAGUCCUGAACUUAUCAAAAGUGUUGAAAAACAGCAUGAAUUUUUGUUAUGGUAGAUUAAAUAGCUAACUUUCUAGUUAAAUGGUUAACUUUGACUUGAACAAAAAAAGGACAUCCUAAAAUCAACUGACAAAAAAAUAUUAAAACUGGGAUUCAAACCCAUAACCAAUAAAGACAACAACAAGCUACUUAACCACUGGACUAGAGAACUUUUAUUGAUGUUAUUACACACACAAAUAUACUUAUGUAAUCAUGUGCAUGUGAAGAUGAAAUAAUCGAUUUGUUCGGAUCAUUCAUCACUUGUAAAUUCUAGUUGUUGUUACUUCUUUUUGUGGUAGCAACAAUCUUAAGAGGGAGAGAGAAUCAUGAAAAGUUUAUGUAAAAAACAAGACAACAGUAUCUCACCUAUUUUUUUCCUCUACAAGCUCCAAAAAGAGUUUACCUCGUAAACCGAAAGCUAACGCAGACGCAAGACCAAAGACACAUCUUCUUAUUUAUAGUCUCUGAGUGUUUGAGUUAGAGACAUGGAGAGAAUGUCAGUUUGUCUAUGUCUUGUGUUCUUCUUCUUCUUAACUGUUGUUGCAGAAGCAAAGUAUCCUCCUGGAACCAUCUUUUUGUCCUUGAGACAAAACAUGAAGAUUUCCAAGUCAAAGGCAGAGUUAUACCCUUUCACUUUCAGACUCGUUAUUUCCCUCAGAAUCUAGACCACUGUAGUUUCCAACCUGAGAGCUACAGUAUCUUCCAUGAGAAACUACCUCAUCAGCAGCCAUUUCUGGCGCAAAGGUGGCCCCAUCUUUGUCUAAUUGAAUGCAUGGAGAGUCUAGCCGCCCAGGUCAGCCAAGAAAAUGAGAUACCUGAACGCUGGAUUACGCAAUCUUGAUAAAAAGCUUGAAGCAGAAUCUAUAAGCAUCUCCUGUCAUCAUGUUUGGUGGUUCUUACUUACGGUGGAAGCAGUGCUUGCAGCGUGGUUCGUCAGGCUAAAGUAUCCGCAUAUUGCAAUUGGCGCAUUAGCAUCCUCCUCUGCUCCAGUUCCGCAGUUUGAUAAGACUGUUCCGUCUUCAAGCUUCUACGACACCGUUUCUCAGGAUUUUGAGAAGGGAGGAUUUGAGAUGGAUUUUGAUUGAAAGUGAUCUUACACCGUUUAAAACCGAGUUAAAUAGCGAUUAGAGACCGGUGGUCUACCUAUUAUACGAAGCUCGACAGCCGUUACCACAAUUAAUUUGGUGACACGUGGAAAACGUUGCCAAACCCAUGGAUCGACGAGCUUUUUCAGCCCCAAAACUCUUAUGAGAGUACCGUUUUGUAACUAA